rnacentral:rRNA from 1 species
GACGAACGCUGGCGGCGUGCUUAACACAUGCAAGUCGAACGGAAAGGCCCUGCUUUUGUGGGGUGCUCGAGUGGCGAACGGGUGAGUAACACGUGAGUAACCUGCCCUUGACUUUGGGAUAACUUCAGGAAACUGGGGCUAAUACCGGAUAGGAGCUCCUGCUGCAUGGUGGGGGUGGGAAAGUUUCGGCGGUUGGGGAUGGACUCGCGGCUUAUCAGUUUGUUGGUGGGGUAGUGGCUUACCAAGGCUUUGACGGGUAGCCGGCCUGAGAGGGUGAACGGCCACCUUGGGACUGAGAUACGGCCCAGACUCCUACGGGAGGCAGCAGUCGGGAAUAUUGCACAAUGGGCGGACGCCUGAUGCAGCAACGCCGCGUGCGGGAUGACGGCCUUCGGGUUGUAAACCGCUUUCGCCUGUGACGAAGCGUGAGUGACGGUAAUGGGUAAAGAAGCACCGGCUAACUACGUG